UGGGGGAUAUUGCACAAUGGGCGAAAGCCUGAUGCAGCGACGCCGCGUGGGGGAUGAAGGCCUGCGGGUUGUAAACUUCUUUUGCUCUGAACAAGGCAUGCUAAUGGGUGUGUUGAGUGUAGGGGUUGAUUAGCGCCGGCUAACUACGUGCCAGCAGCCGCGGUAAUACGUAGGGCGCGAGCGUUGUCCGGAAGUAUUGGGCGUAAAGGGCUUGUAGGUGGCUGGUUGCGUCGGUCGUGAAAGCUCAUGGCUUAACUGUGGGUUUGCGGUGGGUGCUGGCUGGCUUGAUGGCAGUAGGGGAGGCUGGAAUUCCUGGUGUAGCGGUGGAAUGCGCAGAUAUCAGGAGGAAUACCGGUGGCGAAGGCGGGUCUCUGGGCUGUUACUGACACUGAGGAGCGAAAGCAUGGGGAGCGAACAGG
rnacentral:rRNA from 1 species